rnacentral:rRNA from 1 species
AGUAACGCGUAUGCAACCUACCUUCCACAGGGGGAUAGCCUUCCGAAAGGGAGAUCAAUACCGCAUAACAUCAUUUGAGGGCAUCCGAAGAUGAUCAAAGCUUUGGCGGUGGAAGAUGGGCAUGCGUGCCAUUAGUUAGUUGGUAGGGUAACGGCCUACCAAGACUUCGAUGGCUAGGGGUUCUGAGAGGAUGGUCCCCCACACUGGUACUGAGACACGGACCAGACUCCUACGGGAGGCAGCAGUAGGGAAUAUUGGGCAAUGGCCGAGAGGCUGACCCAGCCAUGCCGCGUGCAGGAAGAAGGCCUUCUGGGUUGUAAACUGCUUUUAUCUGGGAAGAAAACGCCCUUGCGAGGGUAACUGACGGUACCAGAUGAAUAAGCACCGGCUAACUCCGUGCCAGGAGCCGCGGUAAUACGGAGGGUGCAAGCGUUGUCCGGAUUUAUUGGGUUUAAAGGGUGCGUAGGCGGCCCGUUAAGUCAGUGGUGAAAUCCCAGGGCUCAACCCUGGAACUGCCAUUGAUACUGACGGGCUUGAGUUCGGUUAAGGCGGGCGGAACUGGUGGUGUAGCGGUGAAAUGCAUAGAUACCACCAAGAACCCCGAUUGCGUAGGCAGCUCGCUGAGCCGAAACUGACGCUGAGGCACGAAAGCGUGGGGAGCGAACAGGAUUAGAUACCCUGGUAGUCCACGCCGUAAACGAUGAAUACUCGAUGUUAGCGAUACACUGUUAGCGUCCAAGCGAAAGCGUUAAGUAUUCCACCUGGGGAGUACGCCCGCAAGGGUGAAACUCAAAGGAAUUGACGGGGGCCCGCACAAGCGGUGGAGCAUGUGGUUUAAUUCGAUG